UACAGAGGGUGCGAGCGUUGUCCGGAAUCACUGGGCGUAAAGGGCGCGUAGGCGGUCUCUUAAGCGUGUGGUGAAAGCCCGGGGCUCAACUCCGGGUCGGCCGUGCGAACUGGGAGACUGGAGCUUGUCAGAGGCAGGCGGAAUUCCGGGUGUAGCGGUGGAAUGCGUAGAGAUCCGGAAGAACACCGGUGGCGAAGGCGGCCUGCUGGGACAGUGCUGACGCUGAUGCGCGACAGCGUGGGGAGCAAACAGG
rnacentral:rRNA from 1 species